GUGGACAGCUUCCGCCACGGAGAGAACGAACUCCACGGCGAGCUUGGCCAACGAUAUACACAUCUCGACUCUAUGUAUCAUCAUAAUCAAGCUGGAAAAUGCAAGAAUUAAGUAUCAAUUAUGAUUUUUCUCAGGAGGUAUAGUUUGGAUGUCUUGCUGGAUGUUCUUGAGUAUUUAUUUAUAUACGUGUUGGAAAUCGGGUAAUGAUUCUGGUUCUUGGGGUCCGACCGACUCUGGCUCUUGGGUUGGUCCAAGGGACGUAUUUAUUAUUCAUGUUUUUUUGUAAGUAAUUGGCUAGAUUUGUUUUUAUGGAUUUCAGUAGUUUUGAGAAUUAUUGGUAUGAUUAUUUUGGGGAUAUGGUAGGAUAUGGUCCUUAUCUUGAUUGGCCCAGUGGACGAAUGUUAUGGGAUAGUUCUUUCCAAUCUUCU
rnacentral:lncRNA from 1 species